ensembl:lncRNA
GGGAACACCCGGAAUGGCACCGGGAAUACCGGAAAACACCGGGACACGGAACACCGGGAACAUCAAGAAUACCGGAAACACCGGGAACACCGAAAACACCGGGAAUAGCGGGACACGGAACACAGGGAACACCGAAAACACCGGGAAUAGCGGGACACGGAACACCGAGAAUACCGGGAACACCGGGAACAGCGGGACACGGAACACCGGGAAUACCGGGAACAGCGGGACACGGAACACCGGGAGCACCGGAACCGGAACCGGAACCGGAACCGGAGCAGCACCGCGGGCUCGUCCUGCUGGUACCGGCGCGGUUGGGGGGCGAGAGCCUGAACCCGGUGUACGUGGAGUGUGUCAAGGUGGGUCUGGGGGCUACCGGGGGCGUUCCCGGGGCCGGUCCCGGUACCGAUCCCAGUGCUGGUACCGAUCCUGGUACCGAUCCCGAUCCCGGUGCCGAUCCUGGUACCGAUCCCGGUGCCGGUACCGAUCCUGGUACCGAUCCCGGUGCCGGUACCGAUCCCGAUGCCGAUUCCGAUGCCGAUCCCGGACCCGAUCCCGGUACCGAUCCCGGUCCCGGAGCCGGUCCCGGUGCUGAUCCUGGUCCCAGUGCUGAUCCCGGUCCUGGUACCGAUCCCGGUCCCGAUCCUGAUCCCGAUCCCGGUCCUGUUGCCGGUACCGAUACCGGUGCCGAUCCUGAUCCCGGUCCUGAUCGCGGUCCCGGUGCCGAUCCCGGUCCUGGUGCCGGUGCCGAUCCCGGUUCCGAUCCCGAUCCUGGUCCUGGUGCCGGUCCCCGUCCCGAUCCUGGUGCCGGUACCGAUGCCGGUCCCCAUGCCGAUCCCGGUACCAAUGCUGGUCCCGAUCCCGGUGCCGGUACCGAUGCCGGUCCUGGUGCCGGUCCCUGUCCCGAUCCCGGAGCCGGUCCCGGUGCUGAUCCUGGUCCC